rnacentral:tRNA from 1 species
GGCCGUAUAGCUCAGUGGUAGAGCUUCUCUCUCGUAAGGAGAAGGUCGUGGGUUCAAACCCCAUUGCGGCCA